GACGUAGGGCGCGAGCGUUGUCCGGAUUUAUUGGGCGUAAAGAGCUCGUAGGCGGCUUGUCGCGUCGACUGGUGAAAAACUCGGGGCUCAACUCCGAGCUUGCAGUCGAUACGGGCAGGCUAGAGUUCGGUAGGGGAGACUGGAAUUCCUGGUGUAGCGGUGAAAUGCGCAGAUAUCGGGAGGAACACCAGCGGCGAAGGCGGCACUCUGGGCUGGAACUGACGCUGAGGAGCGGAAAGCGUGGGUAGCAAACAGG
rnacentral:rRNA from 1 species